rnacentral:rRNA from 1 species
UACGUAGGGCGCAAGCGUUGUCCGGAAUUAUUGGGCGUAAAGAGCUCGUAGGCGGCCUGUUACGUCUGCUGUGAAAAUCCCGGGGCUUAACCCCGGGCGUGCAGUGGAUACGGGCAGGCUGGAGGCAGGCAGGGGAGAACGGAAUUCCCGGUGUAGCGGUGAAAUUCGUAGAUAUCAGGAGGAACACCAGUGGCGAAGGCGGCUUUCUGGACGGUAACUGACGCUGAGGCGCGAAAGCGUGGGGAGCAAACAGGG